CACGAACGAGUAUAUUAAAUCACAAAGUAGUGUAACCAUAUACGUACGUACGUGUGCAACGUUCCGUGGACAAUAUGGCUCCAUUUUACCGGAGAAAAGGAGACAGCCACGAUUUUCGUCGCGACGAUUCCUACCGGAAAUUGCAGGGAAGGUAAGAUUAAUAUUCAAUAUCGUUCAAUGAAGCAUGAAGCGGCUGAAACAACGAUAGGGGACGAAUGAAACAAAUCGUUCGAAUAUCUCGACUAAAAGUGUGCAGGAGGUGAUUAAGUUAGGCGGUCGUAGUUGUAUUUAACAUCUUAGAGUAUCGCUCCGCGAAACUUUCAGUUCAGUUCUCGUCGGCCCAAGUACCUCAUUUGUACUUCCAUUAUCUUGAUACAAUACACUAUCAUCCCCAGAAAAAGGCGAAAUGGAACAACAGCGCAAAAUAUCCGGAUAUUUGUUCCUGUUUCAAAUUAAAUAACAAAAUUCAAGAUAAACAGUAUUUAAUGUUCACAAUUUCUAUUUGUUUGGCUCUUCUCCAAAAUAGUUGAAAGUUCCAAAGUAUCGCGCUAUUAUCUGUUGCAUCCUAACACUCUACAUUCUACACUGCACAUCUAUAAUUUACUAUCAGUCAAAUUGCAUUAUAAAAGUUAUUCAACGAAUCGAUCCUUCCAA